AAUGGGAAGAUUUUCACCCUGGCCACCACCACCUAGGUUACUUGUAAUUUAGGAGUAGAAACAGUACGUGGAGGGUGCUGGGAGAAUGGUGGGAUAAUUUUUGUGUUUUCAUAUAAUUCCCAUGCUUGUUCUUGGGACACUCAGUUUUCUUGCACUCAGAUUCUGUGUGAUCAUGAAAGCUCUUUUGAUUUUAAUUUCUCCUGUAGUAGGAGUUACCAAAAUGUCCUAACAGCGUUCGCUGCACUUACAUAGGUUAACUGGCCUUCAGAAUUCAAUCAUCCAGUGAGCUGCAAGAGAGACUUCAGUCUUAGGUGCUCUCAGUUGUGCUCUGUGCUGUGUGAGAUCUAUCAGUCAUGGAUAAGAGACAACAGGAGGCCGUUUCCAGACUAGCUGAAGUGAACACCGGCAGGAAGACAGAUGAAUACUUAAAGCCUAAUCAAGGCAAGAAAAACCUGCUGAACUUCAUACUAGGCAGACAGCUGGGAAAGCAGAAGAAUGAUGCAGAUAUGGCCAAGUGGCUGUGGACGCUGACACGAUCGACUCCAGGGUGGAGGUGGCCUUUGCCAAACCACCACAUUACUUACAUGCUUAUGCCCACCCCAAAUCAUUCAAAACGCUUCCAAAAGAGUGGAAAAUAAAACUUCUCCUUGUUUUGGCAGUUGA